rnacentral:rRNA from 1 species
AUGCAGAAGAUGGUAGACAAAACCCACUACACUGAUGGCUCCGAAUUAACUUAUAAGGAGAAAAGUCAUAUGAUUGCUUAUUGUACUUAUCUUGAGAAUUACAAUACCUAUUAUCGAACUACUCCAAAUUAUGGUGAAUACGUGCCACUAGUGCACGCGUUGAACCACGAUAACUUCUAUGGAGAUACCCUGGUAAGAUUUUUUACUAUUACAACAUCCGUGCAUCUUUUGCAUACUUCUAAAACUAGUACAUCAUUGCUAACUACAAAGUUAUUACUAUGUUUUUCAACAGAAAAUCCCGAUGGAUUGUGUGCCUCAUCUGAUGUAUCAGAAUGGUCGCCUUGCAGUUCUGAACAUACAGCCAGGUCAAUCUAA